AGGACGAACGCUGGCGGCGCGCCUAACACAUGCAAGUCGAGCGAGAACCGGGGCUUCGGUCCCGGGGACAGCGGCGAACGGGUGCGUAACACGUGAGCAACCUGCCCCGAAGACCGGGACAACCCGAGGAAACUCGGACUAAUACCGGAUGUCCUCACCGGAUCGCAUGGUCUGGUGAGGAAAUGGAUUCCGCUUCGGGAUGGGCUCGCGGUCUAUCAGCUUGUUGGUGGGGUAACGGCCUACCAAGGCGACGACGGAUAGCUGGUCUGAGAGGACGAUCAGCCACACUGGGACUGAGACACGGCCCAGACUCCUACGGGAGGCAGCAGUGGGGAAUCUUGCGCAAUGGGGGAAACCCUGACGCAGCGACGCCGCGUGCGGGAUGAAGGCCUUCGGGUUGUAAACCGCUUUCAGCAGGGACGAAAUUGACGGUACCUGCAGAAGAAGGCCCGGCCAACUACGUGCCAGCAGCCGC
rnacentral:rRNA from 1 species